rnacentral:lncRNA from 1 species
CCAAUAUGGCAACCUCAAGUCUCAAAAACAUAAGCCAAUAAUAAAGUAGUGACAAAUGAAUUUAACUAACUGACUGGCUGUCUAUGAAGCCUCUAAACAACUGAGAUUGAUGUCGGGACAGGCCCACAACAUCCUAAUGAUCUAAUAAUAAAAUUGAAAGCAAUAAAAGAGAUCCUCCGAAAGCAAGGAGGCUCACCACAAGACUCUGAGUGCUCAAACUGGAUCAACGAGGCGCUAAAUGCUGAUCCUGGUUACAUACGUCUGCAUCAUAAUAAGAUGCAGGCCAACUGACAUCAAUACAUUGAAUGUACGAGUAUGCGAGUUGGAAUGCUAAACACAACUUAAGUUUGAAAGAAUCUGAAAGGAACACUUACCUUGAUUUAACUCCUGAAUAACUUAACUCAAUAUAAAACAAUAAAACAUAUGCAAUAUAUAGAAAGCUUGUAAAAACAGUGCAAACAACUCAGUUUGUUAAAGAAAAUGCAAUAAUAAACUCAAUUCUACUCAUAUAAUAAAGUAAUAUAGUUUCUGUGGGAGAUUCUCUAACCGACAAUCAUCACUAUGAGCCUAAGUAGUGAUACAACGUCUUUUCCACGCUGCCAGAACUAUCCUAUACUUUGUCGUCAUAUAGAACUACUUAACCUAGUGGAUCCACUAGCUUAUGCUAAAAGCAUCUUAAGGAGUCAUCUACAAAGAAUGAUUCUUUACUACCCAUGAUGGCUACUUGGUUUAUGGAGACUUGAGUUAAUAUGAACUCGCAUCCCCCAUAUCGGUGCUCAAUACUACUCCCAAAAAUAUACUUAGCUCAUAUGUUUUUAAAAACAAGCUUCUUUCUUUGGUUUGAGAUAAUUACUCAAAACUUAGCUUAAAAGCUCUCUUGGAAUCGAUGUUCCCUUUCUUGUUCAAAUGUGAAACCAUUUUUAAACUCUUCGGGAAUACAUAGUCCCCAUAUACUUCUUUGAAGAAAUGAACUUCAAUAUUUACUCUUUACUCUUUACUCAACUUGAACUUUAAGUCUUGAAACAAAGUUAAAAUGUUUGUAAGAGACUUUUGAAAGCUUUAAAGAAUUUCUCUUGACUUGCUUCUUAACUUUUAACUUGACUCUUAACUUUCCUUGAAUUGAAUUAUGGAUUCAAGGAUUGUGAUUUGUGAUAGGAAAGAUCUCAUGAUAUUUAGGAAUGAUUUUAGAUAGCUAAACAUGAGAAAAGAUCAAGAAAUUACUAUCUGAGGGUGGGUUCGUGACGCAGAGAAAUAUUUAAAUUUUUGGUUCGAAAACAACUUUUGAGGCAGAACGCUUCGUGACCGCUCCGUGACGCGAAACGAUUUUUCCCAAAUCUGGGGAGCAGGUCCGUGACGCGGAGGCACUGCCCAGUUUUGCCCGACGAAAUUCCUUUUUCGUUUUUCAACUCUAAACCCUCUAAACUCCAUUGGUUCUUUUCCCAAACACUUAGAAUUAUUUAUACCCUCAAACAACAUCAGAUUCUACUCGAAAACACAACUAAAAACGUGAAUCAAUCUCAAGAAAACUCCAACAACACAACCCACAAGGAUACAAACGAACUUCAUCAAGAAUUCAAGGGAUUUACUUUCAAAUCAAUAUACUUUGCUGAAAUUGAAUCAAGUUGGGCGCGUGGGUAGAAAAUCUUACUUCUCUAUGUAUGCUAUGGGAGAUGGUUUGUGUUAGAAAGCAUAUGCUCUAAGGCAUCCAAAUUAUUAGCAUGAAAUAGUUAGAAUGUGAAUUGCUGUUUAACUGAUUUGACUUAACUGGUUUGUAAAUAAAGUAUAUGGAGGUAUAAGCAUAUGAAGGAAUAGACUACUACCAAUGAGGUACAAAAAUAAGAUGUUACAGAAAUACUCUCAUAUGUUGUAGAACUAAGAUAGUGGAUAGGCAUAAGGACCUGAAUAAGUAACUUCAUCUGGAUUUUACUGUCAAUUCAAACAAGCUUCAUUCAUCCAUCACUCUCAUUUUUCCAUGUUUAAGUUACAUGCAUCUGAAAUCUUCUUCCUUGCAGAUAUACUAAUAAAAAAUGAAGCUACAAGAAUCUAGUACUUUACCACUUUUAACUUUGUUCUCACUUAAGCUUUGUUGAUACUGUCUGUCAUUGCAUAGUCUACGAAUAUACAGAUAUUGUCUUGGCCUACUCUUCAUUUUGGGAAUUGGAUCACUGUAAAAUUUCUCUUUUAUGUGUUUAAGAAUGAGAGAGCAGCAGAGGAGCAAAAGAGGUAUGAUGAAAGUGUCUUGUCUUUGGCAGAAGAACAGAAGGUUGUAAGCUCAUUCUGUGUGUUUACUCAAUUUCUGUAGUUAUGUAGUUAGUCUCUGACAUCUUGAGAAUUUUACAUGCAGAAGGCGAAAGAAACUCUCCGUCAGAAGAACAUGGAGUUUCAAAAGAAACUCGACUUAAAGCAAGCGCUAGAGUUGGAGAUUGAACGUCUCACAGGGGCCAAGAAUGUAACUGAACAAAUGUGAGAUGACCAAGAGGUGAAGAAAAAAUUCGACGAGAUCGAAGAGAGCCUAAAUGAGAAAAAAGAAGAACUAGAAGAUCUUGAAGCUUUGAAUCAAGCUCUAGUUGUUAAAGAGCAGCGGGCAAAUGUUGAGUUAACAGAUGCCAGGAAGGAGCUGAUCGAUGUAAGUACAACUCUUUCAAGUUCUGCAAUACCCUUAUCUAUUUUGUGAAUAACACUCAAGUUUCCAUUUUUCCUCCAAUGGAGUAAGAACAUCAGAAUGAUUAGGAGCAGGCUAUAGCACGUUCAAUUCGUUACAUGUUCAGUUUUCGUUCUCAACCUAUUACAAAUUUCAUGCACCAUCAACUGAGCUUCUAUUAUAGUCUAUGUUGUUGAACAUUCAAGUAUUCUUACAAGGUGAAAAUUUUGACAAAUGAAACAUGUUUCAUGGCAUUUCGUUAAUAAAGAAGCACUCUUUUCGAGCUUCCAUUGGUGUCAAGAGAAUGGGAGAACUUGAUAGUACAAGAUUUCGUGAGAUAACCAAGAGCAAAUUUCCUGGAACAGAUGCAGAUUUAAAAGCUACUCAGUUGUGCUCAAUCUGGGCACCUUGUGGAUCCCGAUUGGCAUCCUUUCAAAUAUGUAACAAGAGAAAAUGGUUCCAAGGUAAUAAUGCAAUAUAAUAGACUUAUACUAGUUGUUUUCCAUAUCUUUAUCCCCUUGAAUCAAAAUACUUAGAACUUAAUUAUUCCUUGUGUCUUGGUAGGAAAUCAUCAUUGAUGAUAACGACGAAAGGCUGAACAGGUUGAAACAUGAGUUUGGACAAGCCGCUUAUGAUUUGGUAACUGCUACUUUGAUGGAAAUUAAUGAAGGUCCCAGUGGUAGAUGCAUAACAACAGAGUUGUGGAACUAUAAGCUAGGAAGGAAAGCUACCCUCAAUGAAGGAAUAACUUUUGCUCUCCAGAAGUUAAAGAUCAGUAAAGGGAAGAAGCAGCAUUAACUUUCAUGGUUACAGUUUACGUACCAUCUUUCGAAUGGCAUGUUAUACCUUUUCUCUAUGGUGAUAUCUAUUUUAGACAAAAGAAAUUGAACCAUUUGAAGUAGGUUCCUUCAAAAGAAAAGGAAUCCAAAGCACUUGCUUUAGAGAAUCCAAGAUUGUCUAUGGAUUAGCAAAAGCAAAUGUGCACUUGAGUAGUAGUAGCAUCAAAGUUAUCCAAACUUUCAAACAUUGAAUAGCAUCUAGAAUCUGUUUUUCCAUUUUGAAUUGACAUAUUAUCUCAUUACUUUAGUAUCUGUUUUAGUCCUAAGUAUCUUGAUGAUACAUUGAAGUGAUGAAUGCCUAUAUACAUUGGUUUAGUUUAAACACUAGGUGCGACUAAAUUUUUUUCCAUUUUGAAUGACAUUAUCUCAUUACUUUAGUAUCUGUUUUGGUCCUUCCAAUCUCAAUGAUACAUCGAGGUGAUGAAUGUUGUAUUUGUUGGUUUAGUUUAAACACCAGGUGCGUCUAAGUUUUUUCCAUCGACAUGUGCUUGUCAGGCAAAGUUCAAGCAUUAAAGCUAGACUAGAAAUGAUAUCCAAAGUUCUGCACUUGAGUAAUAUCAAAGUGUAACAUACCAAAAGAAUGUAGAUUUUUUCGAUUAAAGUAAAUUACUGAAAAUACAGUAAGUACACUGCUCAAGCAUCAAGUACUACAAAACAUUAUACUGAUACAAAAAAAAAGGCUAAAAAUGUUAAAAGAGAAAACCCGAAUUCAUUAGGGUCUAAACAAAUAAAAACUCAAAGUACACGAACCAUGUUACAACAAAAAGGAAGAAGAACUUCAGGUCUACAAGGUGUAAACAGUAGGAAAUAGCAGCUGUAAAUUGCUACAGAAAAUUUGAAAGUGAAGAAGGCUGAAGUUUUCUUGAGUACAACUUUUUUUUCACUCGAAGUUUCAUUACAUAUGGUGUAUUUAUAGAUAAAGUGUGAGAAUUACAACCACAUAAUAAGCAAAAUAUCUCAUACCAAACUAUGUACAAAAAUGUGGCUCACUAACCACCACUCAUUUUUAAUCAAGACUAACAUAUCUAUUACAAAAUAUCUCCAACCUAGGAGUUUCUAGACAAAUCUUACUUUUCUAACAUAUCUAAUACAAAAUAUCUCAAAUCUAGGAGUUUCUAGACAAAUCUUAAUUUUCUAACACUCCUCCUUAAGAUUUUUCAUUGAAACUCCUUGCAACAACCUUUGAAACUCAAACUUCUUAGUGGAAAGAGCCUUGGUCAGAAUAUCGGCCUGCUGAUCUUCACUGAUGCAAUGCACCAACUUAACUUCACCAUUCUUCUCGGCAUCUCUUAAAGCAUGAAACCUUAUGUUGAUGUGCUUUGUUCUUCCAUGCUGCCCUGGAUUUUGAGCCAUCACAAUGGCUGAUUUAUUGUCCACAUAGAUCACUGUUGGUUCUUUUGGCAACAAAUUCAAUUCCAACAAGAUCUUUCUUAACCAAAUUGCUUGAUUUGUAGCAGAUGCAGCAGCCACAUACUUGGCUUCUGUUGAAGAUUGUGCGACAAUAUCUUGCUUCUUUGUGCUCAAAGAAAAAAUGCCUGAACCAAACGAAAAACAGUAACCAGAAGUGCUUUUGUAAUCAUCCAAACAUCCACCCCAAUCACUAUCUGAAUAGCCAAUAAGAGCUCCAUUCUCCACAUUUCUAUACCAGAUUCCAUAAUUAAUCGUCCCUCUAAUGUACCUUAACACCCUUUUAGCGGCUCCAAAAAUGCUUAGUGCUGGGACUUUGCAUAUAUCGAGAUAACAAACUGACAACGAACAUUAUGUCUGGCCUAGAAGCUAUUAGAUACAAUAGACUUCCAAUUAGACUUCUAUAAACUUUUUGGAUCUGCCCUCUCUUCGUCAUCAUCCUUCAUUAAUUUUUCAUUCACAACAAGUGGAGUUGCAACAACUUUGCACUUGUCAAGCUUGAACCUUUUAACAGAUUCAAGGCAUACCUCUUUUGGGAACAAGAAAAUUCCUUCACAAGAUUGAGAUAUCUCCAUUCCCAGGAAAAACUUCAUUUCUCCUAGAUCAGACAUCUCAAAAACAUUUAGCAUUUCAUUUUUAACUUCUUGAACCGCAAGAGGAUUUUCACUUGUAAUCAUCAAAUCAUCGACAUAAACUGAUAUCAUAAUCAACAUCCCAUCCGCUUGCCUUUUGGAGUACAAAUUAGGCUUAUUUAGGCUUCUGUUGAAGCCUUGAGACAGCAAAUGAGAAUCCAACCUACUAUACCAAGCUCUUGGGGAUUGUUUAAGACCAUAGAGAUCCCUUUUAAGCUUGUACACCUUGUCUUCUUCACCUGCAACUGUAAAACCUUCAGGUUGUUCAACAUAAAUGUCUUCCUCAAGCAAUCCGUUGAGAAAUGCAGAUUUUACAUCCAAAUGGAAGAUUUUCCACUAGUAUUGUGCUGCGAGAGCGACUAGAAAUCUUACUGUCUCAUGCUGCGCAACAGGAGAAAACGUUUCUCCAAAGUUCACUCCAGGAUGCUGAGAAUAACCUUAAACUACAAGUCUAGCUUUAUUCUUGAAGAUGGAGCCAUCUGGAUUGAACUUUUUUUGAUAGACCCAUUUGACACCGAUAACAUUCUUCUCUACUGGCCUAUCAACCAACUCCCAAGUAUCAUUUUUAUUAAUCAUGGCAAGUUCCUCCUCCAUUGCUGAAAUCCACACUUUGUGGUUUGCUGCUUCUUCAAAUGAGGAUGGUUCAACAAGAGUAAAAUUGCAUUGCUCAUAAACUUCUGCUAGUGAUUUGGUCUUCAAAACAUGAGAGUCUGUAGUCAAUUGAACAUCUAUUGAACAUCUGAAUUGUUUUUUGUUCCAUCAAUAGGACUAGAGAGAGUAUCACCUUUUUGCUGAUUAGGAGUUGCAGCUGAAGUACUCCCACCUUGGUUCUUCACAACAAUAUCUCGAUCCUAAUCAUAGUGGAUAGACUCAUCCACUGCAAGAUCUCUACUAACAAACACCUUCUUACUACUAACAUUGUACACUUUGUAUCCUUUUGCAACUGUACUAUAGCCCAAUAGAACACACAGUUCUGCCUUGCUAUCUAAUUUACCUUUUUUAGCAUCAGGAACAUGUGCAUAGCAUACCGAACGAAAUACAUUCAAGUGUCUCGUAGACUACUUGAUACCCUUCCAUGCUUCAAAUGGUGUCAUGUCUUGGACUGCUCUAGUUGGUAAUCUAUUUAGCAAAUAGACAGCGGUAUUGACUGCUUCAGCCCAAAAGUAUUUAGGCAUCUUCUUUUCUGCCAACAUGCAUCUCGCCAUCUCCAUCACAGUUCUGUUCUUCCUCUCAGAAACCCCGUUCUGCUGUGGAGUGUAGCUAACAAUGAAUUGUUAUUGGAUACCCAAAUCUUUACAAUACUUGCUGAACUGAUACAAAGUAUAUUCAGUUCCAUUAUCGGAAUAUACUUCCAUUUACAGCCACUCAUCCUUUCUACCAUAACUUUGAAUUAUUUGAAAACAGAAAACACUUGAUAUUUGCUACUAAGAAAGUAGACCCAUGUCAUUCGAGUCAGAUCAUCUACAAAGAGAACAAAAUACUUGUUUCCACUCAAAGAAACCGUCCUCAUUGGUCCACAUAAAUCUGUAUGAACCAACUCUAGCUUUUCCUUAGCUCUCCAAAGACUUCCUUUAGGAAAGGAUCGUCUAUGCAUUUUACCAAAUUGACAUGACUCACAAACAUCUCUACACAUGUCAAUUUUGGGUACUUCAAGCACCAUACCCUUUGAUUGCAUAUACAUCAGUGAGCAAAGAUUAUAAUGACUGAACCUUUUGUGCCAAAGCCAAGUAUCGCUCAAUUCAACACUAAUAGAGCUAGUAUCAAUAAAAUAGCAUGAAAUUAGAAAGGAAUUGUCAAUCAUGCUAAUUUUAGCUACUUCACAUCCUUUAGGAUCAUAAAUGUCACAUUGUUUGUCCUUAAAAUUAAGAGAAUAAUUUUUAUGAAGCAAUUGAGAAACACUUAACAAGUUUUGAGUCAAAUUUGGCACAUAAAGAACAUCAUUAAUAAUUUUCGUACCUUCGUCAGUAGGAAAUUUUACUGACCCUCUACCGUGAGCUUCCACCAAUGCGCCAUUUCCAAGUUUCACUUUGGUUCUAUCAGAUCUGUCCAAGGUAACAAACAUAUUUUCAUCAAUCGCCAUGUGCCUUGUGCACGCGCUAUCAACAUACCAUUUACAUUGGUCAUUAUGUGAUGUGUGCGAGGCCAUGAAAACCUCCUCCUCUGAUUUUCCAACUUGGUGAUGAUCUGUGAAAUUCACUCGAUGGGAAGACUGGCCACUUUGAUUUUGCUUUUGCCUACAAUACUUCUCAAUGUGACCAUACUUCUUACAAUAUCUACAUUGAAUUGGAGACCUCUUUGAAUUCUGCCAACAAUUCUUCUCUAAGUGGUUUGUCUUCUUACAAAUGCCACAUGGUGGAAAUUUUCCUUUUAUCGACAAAUCACCUUGGUUUCCACCAGAUUUAUCCAACCAGACUUUUCUACUUUCCUUUUGAUGUUUGCAUUUAUGCCUCGCUUGAAAGGCAUCUUUUACUAUCCCUUCACUUCUCAUAGUGACCCGUUGCUCUUGGACUUGCAAUUUGGAGAUUAGUUCGGCUAUUGUAAGAGUAGUCAAGUCACAAGACUCUUCAAUAGCUGAGAUUUUUGAUUCAAACUUGUCUAGAAGGCUAACCAAGAUCUUCUCUACAAUUUUCUGAUCUGGAAAGGUUUCACCAAGUAUUCUUAUCUGGUUCACAAUCUCCAUCAGCUUUGAAGAGUAUUCUUUCACACUAACUGAGUCUUCAAUCUUCAAAAGCUCAAACUCUCUCUUCAAUGCUAAGAGUCUAACAGACUUUACUCUAUUGCAGCCUUCAAACUCCUCCUUUAACUUAUCCCAAGCCUCUUUGGCUGUUUCACAAGUCAUAUUCCUCGUAAACAUCACGUCCGUAAGACUUGAAUGUAUGCAGGUGAGAGCUCGUGGGGAUCUAGUCACCAACUCAUCGUACUUCUUAAUUUCAUUGAGAGUUGCAUUAACUCUCAAUGGCUGGACAACAGGUUCUCCAAGCUCAACAACUUCCAGAAGUUGAGAGCCUUUAGAUAAGCCUUCAUUUUGAUGGCCCAUAUGUGAUAAUUCUCUCCGGUAAAAGUUGGAGGACCUGUCGUUGGUUGAUUUUCAGGUGCCAUGAAUUUUUUUCAGCAAGCAAAUUCAAGAAAGAACAUAAUGUAGAUGAGCGAAACAAACAAAAUUUGAUUCAGAUCCCUUAGGAAAUAGGCUCUGAUACCAUGUUACAAAGAAAGGGAAGAAGAACUUUUGGUCUACAAGGUGUAAGCAAUAGGAAAUCGCAGCUGUAAAUUGCUAGAAAAAAUCUGAAAGUGAAGAAGAAGGCUUAAGUUAUCUUGAGAUCAAUUUUUUUCACUAGAUGUUUCAUUACAUAUGGUGUCGAUGUUUUAUUACAUAUGGUGUAUUUAUAGAUAAAGUGUGAGAAUUACAACCACAUAAUAAGCAAAAUAUCUCAGACCAAACUAUGUACCUAUGUGGCUCAAUAACCACCACUCAUUUUUAAUCAAGACUAACAUAUCUAUUACAAAAUAUCUCCAACCUAGGAGUUUCUAGACAAUUCUUACUUUUCUAACAUAUCUAAUACAAAAUAUCUCCAACUUAGGAGUUUCUAGACAAAUCUUACUUUUCUAAUAUAUCUAAUACAAAAUAUCUCCAAUCUAGGAGUUUCUAGACAAAUCUUAAUUUUCUAGGGGGAAUAUUUUGAUGGUAAACUCCUUACCAAGUAUCAACCAUGCCUACUCUUUGAUUUUGCAAGAUGAGAAUCAGAGAGAUACUUAUCUCAGUCCUCAUCUUUCAUCUGAUUCCUCUUUUUCUUUCAUGGUGGGUAAUACCAAUCAAUACAAACAUGGAAAGCAGGCACAAAGGUAUCCAGCACCUUCACAAAGAUCUGGGAUCUCACAAUCAAGAAAAUCACUUUCCAAGAGCCACAAAGGUUCCAGAAACAACAAAAUCAAUUUCAGAAAUUCAAAGGAAAAAGGGCCAAGUAUGAUCCUAAUGUUACCUGUACAUAUUGUGGAAAAACAGGCCAUGUAGUGGAUAGUUGUUUUAGAAAAAUAGGUUUUCCAGAAAACUUUGUGUUCACAAAUGAUAAAGGAAUGCAGGGACAGAUUAGGGGAAAUUGAGCAUUGAUUACUGAAGACAAUGAAGGAAGAAACAAUGAUCAAACAUAUGUCACAAAUGUUGCUCACAAUUACAACAAAGAACAAUACAAUUAAUUUCUUCAUAUGUUUAGACAAAUGAAAAUGGAGGAGGCAUCACAGAAAAACACAGGCUCUGAGAUCAACAGUAAUGUUGUGGCUGGUACAAUUUCAAAGUAUCUUGGAUCCUGUUUUUCUGCUAUUCAUUCUAGCACCUGGAUCAUCGAUUCAGGUGCAUCUGAACAUGUGUUAUAAUCCCCAAUGUUUUACCUCCAUGCCCCCUCUUCAAUUCCCCUUGACCAUUAAUCUUCCUAAUUGUCAAACCAUUCAAGUCACUCAUUCAGGAACUGUGCCUAUAUUUUCUAAUAUCAUUUUACAAAACGUUUUGUAUGUUCCCAGUUUCAAGUUCAAUCUCAUGUCUGUUUAUAAAUUCUGUGUUCAAUUUCCUUACACACUAUUUUUUACAUCACAUGAAUGAGUGUUUCAGGACUCUUCAAUGAGGAGGGGUCAAGUUUUUGGUGAAGCCAAGGAGGGUCUCUACUUGCUACAACCCAGUCCUCAGAAGUGUAGUUCUUUUUUUAGCAAUAGUGUUUCAGUUUCACCACAUACUAUAUUUAGUGGAUCUAGUCCUUUAUCUUUACCCCAGUUCUUAUUGAAUCAGUUUCAGUUUCUCAUUCUGUAUAUACAAGUGCAACUUCUAAUGUAAAAUUGUGGCACAUUAGAUUGGGGCAUUUGCCUUACUCUUCAAUGAAAAAUGUUAGUUUCCUUUCUUUUCCGAGUAAUUAUGACUGUGUUUGUGAUGUGUGUCCUAAAGCUAGGCAAUCCAGGCUACCCUUUCCCAUUAGUCAAAUUUCUAGCAAAUCUGUUUUUGAUCUUAUCCAUGUUGAUACUUGGGGACCUUAUAAAGUAGCUACUCAUAAUCAUUAUAGGUAUUUUUUUGACUAUUGUUGAUGAUUUUAGUAGAGCUACUUGGACUUGUUGGCUACAAAGAGCAAUGCAUUCACAGUCUUGCAAAGUUAUUUACAAAUGGUGGAAAGACAGUUCAAUGCGAAGGUUAAAGUCAUUAGAUUGGAUAAUGCCUUAGAACUAGGAAAGAGUGAAGCGGGUUCUCAAUUCUUUAGUUCUCAUGGGAUUAUGCAUCAGACCUCUUGUGUGGCCACUCCACAACAAAAUGGGAUAGUGGAGAGAAAAUACAGACACUUACUAGAGCUUGCAAGGGCUUUAAUAUUUCAAUCUCAUGUUUCUAUCGUUUACUGGGGAGAGUCCAUCCUUACAACCACUUAUUUGAUUAACAGGUUACCUUCUAAGGUGCUCAAAGGAAAAACACCUUAUGACAUCAUAUUCGGGAAGUGACCAUCUUAUCAUACUUUGAAGUGUUUUGGAUGUUUAUGCUAUGCUAACACUUUAACUCAUGGCAGGGAUAAGUUUCAACCUAGAGCUAUGAAGUGUGUUUUCCUAGGUUAUCCUAGUGAUAAAAAAAAGGUACAAGUUACUGAAUCUUGAAAAUAAAAGGAUAUUUGUAUCCAGAGAUGUUCAUUUCUUUGAGCAUAUUUUUCCCUUUGUGGAUAAAUCUGAUGACAUUCCUUCUUCUAUAUUUCCAGAUUAUGCAAUUUAUCUACUGAUCAGCCUGAUUCUCAAACUGAUCUCAUUCCUCAUACCAUUCCAUCUACUAGUUCCUCUUCUUCACCAGAUCAUCCAUUCACUUCAUCAUCACCUGAUUCAACUCAUACUCAGAUUUCCCCUUGGUUCAACUCACUCUCAUAUUUCAUACCUUGAUUCUUCCAUUAAUAAUCCCAGAAGAUCUCACAGAAUAAAGAAACUUUACCGUCACAUCUUCAAGAUUAUUAUUGCAACACCAUUUUUUCAGUGAUGUGACAAACUCCUAUUUUGACACUCCUACUAAACCUAGUGUUAUUUCUUUUCAUGCUCUUUCUCUUUCUAAUAAAUCCAUCGUACAAUCAGUUUCUACAAUCACUGAGCCCACCAGUUAUAAAGAAGCUUUUACUCAUCCAGGUUGGAGGAAGGCUAUGGAUGAUGAAAUGGAGGCUUUACAAGCAAAUCAUACAUGGGUCUUAGUUGCUUUACUUCCGGGUAGACAAGCUUUACCUUGCAAGUGGGUUUACAAGGUGAAGCAACAUGCUGAUUGGAUACUUGAGAGGCUGAAAGCAAGGUUGGUGAUCAGGGGUGAUAUAAAGAAAGAGGGGAUAGAUUUCAAUAAGACUUUUUCCCCGGUGGUCAAAAUGACCACUAUCAGAUGUUUGCUAGCCAAUGCAGCCAAGAAGAAUUGGGAAAUUUCUCAAUUUGAUGUAAACAAUGCCUUCUUGCAAGAAGAUUUGCAAGAAGAAGUUUACAUGAAGUUCCCAAUUUGUGUUGAUCCUCCUAAAGCUAGUUUGGUUUGUAAGUUACAAAAGAUUUUAUAUGGUCUCAAGCAAGCCUCUAGGCAAUGGUAUGCCAGACUUGCAGGGGCCCUCAAUUUCAAAGGUUUUAUUGCCUCUUUGAUUGAUUAUUCUCUUUUCUUUAAGAAAGUAGGGGAUACUAUUGCUACUGUGGUUGUUUAUGUGAUGAUAUAUUGAUAACUGGAGAUGCUUACACUGUGAUAGAGGAUCUAAAAGUCUUUCUUAAUUCAGAAUUUAAGAUCAAGAGUCUUGGGUCCCUGCAUUACUUUCUUGGUAAGGGACAAUCAUGGUUUGAUAGUCAGUCAAAAGAAAUAUACCUCUGAUUUGUUGUGCGAAUUUGAUGUCUCACAUCUUCCUCCAAUUGCCUCUCCAUUGGAUCCUGCAGUGAAAUUUGUCACAGAAUUAGUAGAGUAUAUGGAAGAACAACCUUAUAUCAGCACAUCAUUGGUAAGUUAAAUUACUUAACUCAUACACGACCGAAUAUAUGUCAUGCAGUUUUGAUUCUCGGUCAAUUUAUGCAAAAACCAAGUCUUGAUCACUAUCAUGGAGCUUUGAGGGUUGUAAGUUACCUGAAACAGUAUCCGCAUCAGGGUCUAUUCUUUUCUUCUUCUCCAUCCUUUUCCCUUAAUGCUUUUUGUGAUGCGGAUUGGGCUUCGUGUAGAGACUCACUGAGAUCUAUCAGUGGUUUAUUCAUUAGUUUAGGGGGUUCCCCCAUUUCUUGGAAGUCCAAUAAACAUAUCUCUAUAUCCCUCUCUUCCACAGAGGCAGAGUAUCGAUCUAUGCGUCGAUUGGUAGUUGAAUUAACCUGACUUACUCUAUUACUAGAUGAUCUCUCUGUUCUGCCUCAACUUCUUGUACCUGUGCGGACGAAGCACGUUGAGUUGGAUUGUCAUUUUGUCCGUCAACAGUACUUGUUAGGGCUCAUUUCCCUAUCUUUUGUUCCUUCCAAAGAGCAACUCGCUGACAUAUUCACUAAGCCUCUUUAUGGCCCGCAACAUCAUGGAGUUCUAUGCAAGUAAGGGUCUCACUCCGCUCCCCUCCACCUUGAGGGGGAUGUUGGAAUUCAACCUUCUUCUACACCAUCUUCUCAACCAUUUAUAGCAUGUUCUAAUUUCACCAGAGAGAAGAUGAAGAUGUCUGAUGAUGUCUUGUUUGAGAAAAGCAAAUGGGCCAAGAGUGAUAUUGGGUCGCAGAAGAAGGCAC